CCUACGGGUGGCAGCAGUAGGGAAUAUUGCUCAAUGGGGGAAACCCUGAAGCAGCAACGCCGCGUGGAGGAUGAAGGUUUUCGGAUUGUAAACCUCUUUUGUUAGAGAAGAUAAUGACGGUAUCUAACGAAUAAUCACUGGCUAAAUCCGGGCCAGCAGCCGCGGUAAUACGGCGGGUGCAAGCGUUACUCGGAAUCACUGGGCGUAAAGGGCGUGUAGGCGGGAUAGCAAGUCAGGUGUGAAAUCCUAGGGCUUAACCAUAGAACUGCAUUUGAAACUGGUAGUCUAGAGUAUGGGAGAGGUAGGUGGAAUUCUUGGUGUAGGGGUGAAAUCCGUAGAGAUCAAGAGGAAUACUCAUUGCGAAGGCGACCUGCUGGAACAGAACUGACGCUGAGGCGCGAAAGCGUGGGGAGCAAACAGGAUUAGAUACCCCGGUAGUC
rnacentral:rRNA from 1 species